UCUGAUUUAAGGAAACGUGGUCGCUUGGGUCGCCGAGCGAGAUGACUGGGUGCGCCCAGAUAAACAAGUCAGACACGCAGUCGGUAGUAAGGGAUGGGCCCAAAACGGCAGGGCCAAGGCGAGGGAGCAUUUUUGUUACCGAAAAGCCCCUGAAGCAAUAAUUGAAGAACAUUAGGUUAGCUGAAAAGCAUUUGGCUCCCUGAGAAGGUCGGCUUGGGUGUUUUGUGUUUGCAGGGCAGCACCUGUUGUAAUGUCCCUGCCUGUAGACGUUUUACCCCCACACCUCCAUUUUUUAAACAUUUUUCUCUCAUGGAGAAUUGGUUGGUGAUUUGGCCGGCUAGAGAUAUCCGAUUGAUCUGCUGCUGAUCCUCCAUCUAGGUUUCAGGAUCCGACCGGACCUCUGUGUGACUGAAAUGAACCACCUGUUACCUUCAAAUACAAGUGAGGAAAAGGUCGAGUGAAGACAAUAGAUUCAUCCCUUUGGCAACAGGCAUCGGGCUAAAUACUGAGCCUACAAAGUGAGUGCAAUACUGUCCCUGCCUUCAAGAAGCUUACAAUCUAGUAGAGGACACAGGCAUGUAAAUACAUAAGCACAGUUGAGAGAGAUGCUUGCGAUAAAGGGAGACAUGCAGGGAGCUGGAAUAGAGGAAUUGAAGGGGUUGGUGGAGCACAAGGGGACCACAGCGUGUUGAGGAGGAAAUGCAGGGUGUGAAGAAAGAAUACUUAAGAUGCUCCUUCUUGCCACCCUGUCACAGUCCAUUAUCUGCCUGGCUGCUGCAUUGCAAAUAUAGCGUGAAUGACAAAAUAAAGCCACUGCGUGUGCCCGUGGUUCCUCACCCUGGACACCUACACUUGGAGUGUGGAAUUCUAACUCUUUCGCCUGGUAUGUGAGACUCGGCCUAAGCUGGCUUCCCGCCCAGAUUUAUCUAUUGACACUCUUCUCCAGACCGCCUUUCUCACUGACUCGACUGGUCGGAAUGGAAUGUGUUCUCAACACGCUGCGGCUUUUCCUUGCUCCUGGGAUGCCCUCCCCAUUGCAGGGUCUCCCUGUCAGGAUUCAGCCAAAAUGGAACAACCUCUCUGAAGUCUUCCUCAAUGUCACCUUCCGUCUGGGUGAAUGAGCACACAAAAGGCCAAAGGCACCUGUGUCAGGCAGCUGGGAGGAGCUCAUUUCUAAACAGCUUGAACCUAGGGGCGCCUGGGUGGCUCAGUCGGUUGAGCGUCCGACUUCGGCUCAGGUCACGAUCUCCCGGUUCGUGGGUUCGAGCCCCACAUCGGGCUCUGUGCCGACAGCUGGGAGCCUGGAGCCUGCUUUCAGAUUCUUCAUCUCCCUCUCUCUCUCUGCCCCUCCCCCGCUCACACUCUGUCUCUCUCUGCCUCUCAAAAAAAAUAAAUAAAUGUUUAAAAAAAAAUGUAAACACAAUGAACCUAUUAAGAAAGUCAGAAACACGGUGCAAAAAAACAAAUGCCAUCAAUCAAGACUGUGUUAUGAACUUUGAGUAACUGCGAUUUGAGAUGCACAUUCCUGGAACAAGCAAUGACAAACCGGUCAUAGGUCCGUGUAAACAAGGAGACAGCACAGGCCCAGGGCCCGGACCAUGAGAGAAGAGGAAGAUUAGCACAUUUUCAAAGCAUUUCCCUCAUCUGCCGGAAGUUUAAUCUGGGAAAGGUUGGAAUUAAAUUCUGGACCAUACUGUUUGUCACUCCAUAUAACUGUAUUUAAACGUAUAUUAAAGUUAAAUGCAUAGUAAACUCUAUAAGCCUAUUUUAUGUUUUGAGUUUUAUGAUUUAUAAGUACUAAUUCCUGUUACCGUGAUAAAGUCAUGAGUUAAAAGUGCUAAUUCAAAUAUUUUUUCAAGUUUAUUUAUUUAUUUUAAAAGAGAGAGAUGGAGCAUGAGCAGGGGAGGGGCAGAGAGAGAGAGAGAGAGAGAGAGGAGAGAGACAGUCCCAAGCGAGCUUCGUGCUGUCAGUGCUCAAUCUCACAAACCGCGAGAUCAUGACCUGACCCGAAAUCAAGAGUCAGACACUUCACCGACUGAGCCACCGGGGUCCCCUCAGGUUUUUUUUAAAAGCAAAUGCUACAACCAAGUGGACUGGAGUGUGGUUACAGUCGAGAAUCAACCAGAGUCAGACCAGUUACGUUAGCAGCAUGCUUCAUAGCAUAAUAUCUCUGUAAGACCCGUUCCUCUUUGAAUAUUUAUUCAACAAUUGAAUAGUUCAAUAUUCAGUUCAACAUCCCAUUGAAUAAUUCAAUUACUGAAGGCCUAAGUGUCAGACAUUUUUUUUUUUUUGAUCUUCUAACAUUCUCAAGGGCCUACGAAUUAAGUGUAUUUUCUCCACUAUGCAUAAUGAAGCUGAAGCUUAAAGAGAUUUAAGGCUUUCACCAGCCGGCAAGACAAGAACUCAAGAUUCAAACCCACUUUGUUCUAAAGUCAAAGCUCAUUCUUAGCUACUAUACGCAUCUGCCUCUGUGCUACACCAAUGGAUGAUUUAAUUUCGGGCAUUUGUGUCUGAACUGACAAUAAUCUUUUGUAUCAAAUGUAUAGAGAUUUUGAUGGUAGCCUAUGUAUCAUGAGUCUCGGUUAGUCACAGAAAUUAUUUACUCAGUUUAUAGUUGUUACAUCCUAAACUCAUUGAGAUUAACGAAAUGGCUGAUAAUAAUGUUCGAGGCCUAAUUAUUAGCUUGAGCAGGUACACUUCACGCUUGGUACCUAAUCACAUACUGGGCCUUUGUGAAAACAGAGCAGUUAGACUAAUAUCAGCAACUCCUGAAGGAAGAUUAAAGUAGCUGACAAGAUCUUGAAAAUUCCCUUGGAUAUUAUGGAUUUCAUUUUAAGUGAAAAAUGCAAAGCAAUUACAUUUCUUGUAACAGAAUUCCUUAUUUUAUGUAAUUUAUGCUGAGUAUUUUUAUUUAAAAGUUAGCAAACUUGAUUUCUUACAAACAUGUAAAAAAUAUUAGCGCAUAUGGAAAAGAUGGAGAGGAUAUUUUUUGGUCUUAGGAGAGUAGGGGAAGUGAAUGAUGUUUCUCCUUUAAAAGUUUUUCAAUAUUGUUGUUUUAGUGGUUUCUCAUUUUUAAAAGAAACAACUAAGUAAAACUUACUAUUUAACGCAUAGAAGAAUGUUGUGGACUGGAUUCUAUUUUACCAUGUAUGUGAUGUUACCCAAGUCACUUAAUUCUAUACAGUUAGAAUAUAUUUACUAUAAAAACAACUAGAUUACAAAUUAUCCCCAUCCCUUCUACUUGCCCUAUAAUCCCUUGGGGGCAAAUCACCUGUUGUAGGUUGAAUUGUAUUCCCCGAAAGAUACAUUCAAGUCCUAACCCCGGUGUAUUUGACCUUAUUUGGAAAUGCGAGCUUUGCCGAUGCAGUCAAAUUAAGACUAGGUAAUACUGAAUUAAUAUGGGCCUUAAUCCAAUGACUGACAUCCUUCCAAAGCAAGGGACAUUUGGGCGCACAGGAGACAAACAGGGAGAAGGCCAGGUGAUGGCAGAAGUAGAAAUGGGAAUGAUGUAUCUACAAACCAAGGAACACCAAGGACUGUGGGUAAACCAGAAGUAAGGAAGAAGCAUGGAAGCCUCCAGAGGAGCGCAGACCUGCCAACACCUUGAUCUCAGACUUCUGGCUGCCAGAACUGUGAGAAUAAAUUUCCCUUGUCUGUUAUUUCGUGUUACAACAGUCCUACCUUGGGUGAUAGGUCCCCCAAACCUGCAAGGUCCACAUGGAUUAUCUACAUCAAUCAUGGGAUGAAGCGAAGGAAGCAGUGUGGCAUCUGACAACCCUGGUAAUAGGAGGACCCCCAAAUCAUCCACAGGUUCUUGCUGACAACAGCCACCCAAACCAUAAAGGAUUGUACUGGAUUCAGUUCAUGAGUGGAUGUGGAGACUGGGGUGGGAUAAGGUCUAACCAUGUCUAAUGAUACUUGAGGAAUCCAACCUCCAUAAGCUCAGAAAGCCAGCACAUCAACGAGCCCUUCCAGGAAAGUUCUGCUUUGGACAUGAUGGAGUUACAGCCUCCCUGGGCUUUCUUCAGAUAAAUGCUGAACAAAACACCAAAGUCAACAAGCCGCAGCAAGCAGAUCUUGGAAGGCUUAAAUUCAGAUGGAGGGCUCCCCCUCGUUCCGGUCGGGCAGGAAGGGGUCUCGGGGCAAGCAGAGCUUCCUCAGAGUUAGGAGAGACCCCACAGAUGAUCGAGGACCCCAAAGUGGCCGUGAGAACUUGCCAAGUUUCGGGUUCACCCUGGGAUCACACAUGUGCAAAACGGACUGGAGUCCCUCUGAACCGAGAGCCGAGACAGCACCCAACCCAGGUGUUGACAAUUUGCAGUUUUAGUAGAACCAUUAAUUGCCUACUGAAACAUAAAUAUCAACGACCUGGAGGAAAAUGACAGAAUCCACAAUGUCCAGGGCCCGAUGGAAAAUUACUCUACAUACACAGAGCCAGAAAAGAUGUGAUCCGUUUUAAAGGGAGAAGGCUAUCAACUGAUGCCAACCCCAAGAGGACCAAGGUGUCAGAAUCCUCAGGCCAGAAUUAAAAGCCACUAUUAUAACUAUGCCGAAUGAGGCAACAGGGAUCAUUCUCACAGGGAAUCAAAAUAUAGGAAAUUGACAGAAAUGUAAACGAAAAACAAACGGAUGUUGAAACAAAAAUGCAAUAUAAAAAUAUAUUCCUAUAAUAUAAAUUCAAAUAUCAAAUUUGUUGGAUAGCUUCAGUAGAAGAAUGGAGAUGACAGGGAAAAUGAUCAGUGAACCCGAAAGAGAUAGAUGAUAGAUGGAUGGAUAGAUAGAUAGAUAGAUAGAUGAUAGAUAGAUCUCUUUCUGAUAGAGGUACUAAAGUGAGCUCCAGACAAGAAAUAAGAGUGGAAGGACUUUAACAUAAUGAUUGGUGGUAAGCAUUAAGCAUAUACUUAAUUUGAAGUAUUAAGAAUCAAUAACAAUUAUCAGGGAUUAUGUGUUGUACAAAUAUAGUACAAUUAUUUUUAAUGAUGAAGAAUCGGGACUUUAUGUAAAAAGUAGACUAAGCUUGCUGAUCUUCUUAGUGGUCUCAGGACUAAACAAACCUAAAAUCAGAUGUGGGGCAGCUGAGGAGAAAAAAGAAAAGGUAAAUGAGAGUGUUGAGUAUUCAAUAUUGCUUAUAGGUAGGAAACCAUAAUACAUUAUGACCAAGUGCAGGUUAUCUCAGAAACGCAAGAGUGGCUCAGUAUUAGAAAAUC